UCAGUGGCGCUGGUAUUGCACAAUCACCAAAUUUAGAAAGAAUAUCCUUGGGGACGUAUUGCACCAUUUUCUUUCAAAAUAACUUGAAAUGUUGUUUUCUCCAAAAUAAGAAAAACGCAACAGUGUAGCACUCGGGAUUCCCCUAAGGUUUUUUAAAAAAAGGAUAAAUGCGACGUUUUCCAGUCUGAGCGAACCCCGUGCGCACGCAUCGCCGACGGCACUCAAAAUAUCCAUUCUCUAAACGGACUUGCAGAUGUUUUUGCCCAGUUGUAGGCUAUAUGACCACGGCAACACCAAGAGCUGAAAGGAUUAGAUAUAUUGUGUUGCGUCCUUGUGCUGGGACCUCCCCAAAAUGGACUUCUGCUAAGUGGUAACCUGGUUAUUUUGAGCGCGUCACUUCGUCUUGUCUCCAAGUUAUAGGUUCCCAUUGCCAAGGUUGGGCGCAGCACUUAACUGAUAUUGUUAUAGGCUACUUAUUGAUGGAGUAGACAUCGAUAGAAAUCGGCACACUUUUGACAACACAACGAAAGAAAGUUUGACACAUUCCUGUGGUUUCUUUCUUAUCCGAAUGAUAAAUUUAUUUGGCCUACAUAAUAAUGUCAUAAAAUUCGCAUAUUAUAGCCUAAUAGGCAUAUAGUGGCCGUUAUUAAGAAACAUCUUAGAAUUUAUGUAAGCUUGGCACUAGGCAAUAUUAAGAUUUUAGAUGAUUAUUAUAUUGGCCCGUCAUUUCUCUUGCGCUCCUACUUCUUUUGGUGGUGUGGUGCGACUCCACGUGGCAACAAAUUGAGGAUUAUUGUAGUAACGAGAACGAAUAAACCCAAAGAGCACGCCCUACUCUCUGUGCGUAAUGACGCACUUGCGCAGGAGCAAUGUCACAGUCGCAACACCGAGACAGCGCCACCGAUUUAUUCUAAACUGAAUAAUAAUUGUUAUAAACCACAGAUACGGAUGUUCAUCCUUAUUCCAACAACGAUUUGCAUAACAUUUCCAAUCCCUUGUGAGGGUCGUGUAGUGGGGCCCGUGAGAGGCGGAUGAGGCUGGGGUCCAGCUUCAGCGGCGCCCUGCAGCCUCCCAAUGGUCUCCCCCACUAUGAAGGCACUGGUGGACGCUGUGUGGGCGGUGUGGAGCAUCGGUGCCUCCGUCUAUGACUACAUCCACACCAGCGCCAUGGAGGAGCGCAUCCACACGCUGGAGACCGUCAUCACCAUUCACCAGUGUGUCAUCGCAGCGCUGACCGCUGGAGUGGUGGUGCUCUUCACCUACAUACUGUUGAGGAAGCACUGAGGGGGAGUGAGGAAGGAGAAGCCACGCAGGGCCCAGGAGGCUAGUUUUGAGGACAACACAGGACUACCAGAGUGAUCAGAAGCAUUGAGAGUGUGGGUCUGGAAAGUCAUCCAGAGCCCCGGAGAGGCCUACCGGCCUACAUGGAUUAGAUUGAGGAGGACUUGAUUAAUAAGGGAUUUUGGCUACUAGAAAAGUUUUUGGCUAUUUGGCCUUUAUUUCGGCUGCCAAUUGUACCAUUCUACUGCGGGGGUGUUGCUGGACACUGUGUCUCAGGGAGUCAAUGGUUUCACUCACUUUGCACCCAUGGAAGAUGAAGACAUGGGCAGAGAUGGGCAAAAGAUGCAUGAAAAUGUAUCUUUUUACAAAUACAAGUUACUUUAAAGACCAAUGUAUCAAACUAAAAUACAAAAUACUUUUGUGAAGAAUUGUAUUUAGAAUGAUUAAUUCUUUAAUACAAAAUACAUUUGCAAGUACAUGCCUUCACUACAACAAUAUUCUUAGUAACAGAAACAAAAAAACAUUUAACUUGCUAUGACUGUAAUAUGUGGUUGUUUAUCUAUCUUGUUUAUCUACCUUGGUUGAAUAAGUCACUGUGGAUAAAUGUCUGCUAAAUGACCUAAAUGUAAAAAUGUAAUAAUUGCAAAGCACACUUGGUAUUAUUAUUGGCCUUAUUUUGUGGGCGGAGCUCAUCAAUAAUACCCAGCAUGCUUUGCAGGUGUACAUUUGUACAUUUACAUGUUGUUCAUUCAGCAGACACUCAUAUCACACCAUAGUGCCGUGACUUCUGAUACCAAUGCAGGGUGAAAGGGGGCCUCCAAAUGUUGAACCGCUAUAAAAUAAAAAGGAUAUAGAAAAAGUAUUUUGAAAAUAUAAAUGACAGGUCUCAAGUAUGUUACAAACUACAUUGGAUUGUAGUUCAGGCCAGUGAAAUACAAAUGACAAAAUACUCAAAAGCAAAUGAAAUAUGAAUUUCAAUGACAUGUAACAGGAAUACUGCCCAUCUCUGGAUGUGGGGAUGCUAAAACCACAGAGACGACUCAACCUGCAGACUGUAAUCUAAUAACGCACUAAAGGGAUGCUAACUAUCAUUAGGUUUGACUGCCUUAAUAUGCCUCAAGUGGUUUCACUCCCCAGAUGGAAUAACAUUAUUAGUUAGUUAGGUUUUCAUGUUGGCUCUAAUUGCUUAUCCCGCCUGUAUGAUGCAUUGGAAAACUGGAAACUCCCUCUUCAAAACCAUGAUUGUACUAGGUGCCAGCCCAACAGUCUAUACAGGUCUAUAAUUGUAAGUCUUGGUCAUGAAGAUGAAAGUGUUCACUAUUAUAUCACCCAGUGAGGGAGAGUGGAAUAUCAUGGGACGGGCUGAAUGUAUUCUCAAAAGGCCUUAUUUGUUGUAGAAAACUGGCCUCAAGGUUCUCCUGUGAAUUCCUCUGUAGAAGGAGUUUCUGUGAAGCACUCAAAGGUCAAUACACUGGUCGCCAUGAAUGCCAUUUAGUACAGUACAUGUUCUUUGAUAAAACUCCUUUAAAGCAUGUUUAUUUGAUUGCUAAAAUAAGUAAUUGUAGAUAGUCUUGUAAUGCAAGACUUUGUAGUGGCAUUUCAUGGCGUUAGUUGAACAUGGCUAUAGCUGUGAAGGUUAUGUCACUGGAAAGAGUAUUUAGAAGCCUCCUUACCUGUAAAAUAUGAAUCAACCUGAAUGUUUUGGUACAUUGUUUAUAAAUGUUUCAGUAAUGACCACUCUUAACAUUUAAAAGGGUAUAAAACACAUUGUAGGACUUAAAAUAUUUAUGGCAGUUUAAGUGCUCUAUAAUGUUCUAUAAUUAAUUUAAAUUGUUCACUUGCUACAAUAUGACAAAUACACAAUGUUUGCCCUAUCAUCUUGUUCAGAUUGCCAAAAUGGGCCUCAAUGGAAUGUUUCAGGUAAAUCAAAUGUGACUUACAGGUGACAAACGGCCUCCAUGGCAACAAAACAUUUAAUCACCUCCUGGAUCUUUAUGUGAAUGUACAGUGCCUUUAGAAAGUAUUCAGACCCCUUGACUUUUUCCACAUUUUGUUAAGUUACAGCCUUAUUCUAAAAUGGAUUAAAUAAAAACAUUUCCUCAGCAAUCUACUCACAAUACCCAAUAAUGACAAAGCAAAAACAAGUUCAUACAUUUUUUUGCUAAUAAAAAAAAGAUCUGUAAAUAUGGUUUCUGUUUUUCAUGACUAUUCAGACCAUUUGCUAUGAGACUCGAAAUUGAGCUCAGGGGCCUCCCGGGUGGCGCAGUGUUCUAAGGCACUGCAUCGCAGUGCCACCAGAGACUCCGGGUUCGAGCCCAGGCUCUGUCGCAUCCGGCUGCGACCGGGAGGUCCAUGAGGCGACGCACAAUUGGCCUAGCGUCGUCCGGGUUAGGGAGGCUUCGGCCGGUAGGGAUAUCCUUCUCUCAUCGCGCACUAGUGACUCCUGUGGCGGGCCGGGCACAGUGCAGGCUGACCAGGUCGCUAGGUGUUUCCUCCGACACAUUGGUGCGGCUGGGUUGGUUGUUAAGAAGCAGUGCGGCUUCUCGACCUUCGUCUCUCCCAAGCCCGUACUGGAGUUGUAGCGAUGAGACAAGACACUACUAACAAUUGGAUAUCACGAAAUUGGGGAGAAAAAGGAGAAAAAGGGGUUACAAAUAAUAAAGAAAAGAAAUUGAGUUCAGGUGCAUCCUGUUUCCAUUGAUAAUCCUUGAUGUUUCUACAACUUGAUUGGAGUCCACCUGUGGGGCCUCCCGGGUGGACAUGAUUUGGAAAGGCACACACCUGUCUAAAUGAGAUCCCACAGUUGACAGUGCAUGUCAGACCAAAAACCAAGCCAUGAGCUCAAAAUAAUUGUUCGUAGAGCUCCGAGACAGGAUUGUAUCGAGGCACAGAUCUGGGGAAGGGUACCAAAACAAUUCUGCAGCAUAGAAGUUCAAGGUAACACAGUCGCCUCAAUCAUUCUUAAAUGGAUGAAGUCAGAGGGGUGACCAAGAACCCGAUGGUCACUCUGACAGAGCUUCAGAGUUCCCCUGUGGAGGAACAGCACCACAGCACCACCAUCAGGCCUUUAUGGUAGAGUGGCCAGACGGAAGCCGCCACUCAGUAAAAAAACUCGCUUGGAGUUUGCCAAAUGGCACCCAAAAACUGGGAGAAACUCCCCAAAUACAGGUGUGCCAAGCUUGUAGCGUCAUACCCAAGAAGACUUGAGGCAGUAAUCGCUGCCAAUCGUUCAACAAUGUACUGAGUAAAGGGUCUGAAUACUUAUGUAAGUGACAUUUCACUUUUAUUUUGAAUAAAAUAGCAACAAUUUCUGAAAACCUGUUUUUGAUUUGUCAUUAUGGGGUAGGGUGUAGAUUGAGGGGGUAAAACUAUUUACAUUUUAGAAUAAGGCUGUAACCUAACAAAAUGUGGGAAAAGUCAAGGGGUCUGAAUAGUUUCCAAAGGCACUGUAAUGGUACGAAGGAUCAGAAGAGUGCAAUGUUCUGACUGCAGAUAAGUCUUGUGUAGAGCUAAAUCUGUUUACUCUGUAAUCAAGAAAAGGUUUCACAAAGCACUGGUUGGUGAUUGGACAUACUGCCAUCCCUACGCUCCAAUCUGAGUAAGCAAGUCGGGGGUCGUUCAGGGACAGGGUCAUAAUACUCACAUGUAUGUAAGUAGUCAUGUGACGCACUGGUUAUUAAAACAGAAUAACAAUAAUCCCAUGUGCUACAAUGUGAUAUUGACGUACAGACAGAACACUGUAGAAACACCCUGACCAAGGAGACUAUUCAUGGUUUUAUUUCAAGUUAACAGUGACAAAGUUAAUGUUUUGUAAAUACAUAAUGUCAUUCUUACUGAUGUGUACAUUAACAUAACUAUCUUCAAAAUGAAAUGAUUCAAGUUGUAAACUUGCAUGAAACACCAUGUCGUAUACAAAAUGCAAGGAAAUGUAAAGUACAAAUUUAACUUGUCAUAUAAAAACAGAACAGUUUGUUAACCCUGUCUCUAUGUAGUUGCCCUUAACCACAGAUCUACCUUAACCAUUAGGUUGAUCAAAUAUAUCUGACUCUGUAUCAGUGGUUAGAUCAACUUCUACCUACUCAUCCGAACUGCAGUAAGCAGUUUCCUACAACACUGUUGGACCAGCGGGGGGGGUCAGGUGUGUUCUAGAUGUGUCCAGUCUGCAGCAGGGUGUACUGGGCAGUGAAUCUCUCCACACUCUCCCCCUCCAGCAUCUUCAUGGCUCUCCAGUGGAUCAUCCCACAGUUUUCUGGCUGGCCGCUGGGCCCAAGCUCCUCUCGGAUGUACUCCAGCCACAGAUCUGGAGGGAAAAAGCCAUACAGACAGUCCUGAGUGACCAUCUCAACUUACUUUAUCCCAGAAAACUACAUGGAAGUAAAGGUUUAUAUGCAUGCCAUACUAAAACACCUCAAUCAGCUAAUCAAAGUUUCUGUUGAAUCAGGUGUGUUAAUGUUGGGCUGGAAUAAAAGCCUGCAAACUCUGUAGUUCCAA